UGGCCCAUUCUCCAUGACGUCGUCGCGGCCCACAGUAACCAUGGCCUGCUUGAUGCCGAAGGACAUGGCGUCGAGCACUCGUUCGAUGUCCGCCACCGUUGGCGAUGGCGGCGUCGGGAGGAGUGCCGCCCGCAGGGUGCUGAAGACUUGGGGUAGUGAGAUGGUUGCGGACCAGUAUUUUUCCCCCGGGGAUGUGUCGUCGAAGCCUAGGCGGUCGGUGAGCCAGGAGAUCUUGCGUGUGUAGUCGUCGGUGUGAAGUCCCCUGUUCCUGGC
rnacentral:lncRNA from 1 species